rnacentral:rRNA from 1 species
AACGAACGCUGGCGGCAGGCCUAACACAUGCAAGUCGAACGCUGUAGCAAUACAGAGUGGCAGACGGGUGAGUAACGCGUGGGAAUCUUCCUAUCGGUACGGCAUAGCUCAGGGAAACUUGGGGUAAUACCGCAUACGCCCUUCGGGGCGAAGAUUUAUCGCGGACGGAUGAGCCAGCGUCUGAUUAGCUAGUUGGUGAGGUAACGGCUCACCAAGGCGACGAUCAGUAGCGGGUCUGAGAGGAUGACCAGCCACACUGGGACUGAGACACGACCCAGACUCCUACGGGAGGCAGCAGUGGGGAAUAUUGAAGAAUGGGGGCAACCCUGAUCCAGCCAUGCCGCGUGAGUGGCGAAGGUCUUCGGAUUGUAAAGCUCGUUUGGCGGGGCCGAUAAUGACGGUACCCGCAGAAUAAGCCCCGGCUAACUUCGUGCCAGCAGCCGCCGUAA